AAUCUCGUAGCUUAGUGAGUCGAGUAUUGGUGCGUGAAGCCAAAGGUCCCGGGUUCGAUUCCCGGCGAGGGUG
rnacentral:tRNA from 1 species